AUUGAACGCUGGCGGCAUGCCUUACACAUGCAAGUCGAACGGUAACGCGGGGCAACCUGGCGACGAGUGGCGAACGGGUGAGUAAAGCAUCGGAACGUGCCCAGUAGUGGGGGAUAGCCCGGCGAAAGCCGGAUUAAUACCGCAUACGACCUAUGGGUGAAAGGGGGGGAUCGCAAGACCUCUCGCUAUUGGAGCGGCCGGUGUCAGCUUAGGUAGUUGGUGGGGUAAAGGCCUACCAAGCCGACGAUCUGUAGCUGGUCUGAGAGGACGACCAGCCACACUGGGACUGAGACACGGCCCAGACUCCUACGGGAGGCGGCAGUGGGGAAUUUUAGACAAUGGGCGCAAGCCUGAUGCAGCCAUGCCGCGUGCGGGAGGAAGGCCUUCGGGUUGUAAACCGCUUUUGUACGGAGCGAAACGGUCUUCUCUAAUACAGGAGGCUAAUGACGGUACCGUAAGAAUAAGCACCGGCUAACUACGUGCCAGCCGCCGCCGUAAGAC
rnacentral:rRNA from 1 species